UACGAGGGGGGCGAGCGUUGUUCGGAAUUAUUGGGCGUAAAGGGUGCGUAGGCGGUUUGGUAAGUCUCGUGUGAAAUCUCCGGCUCAACUCGGAGCCUGCACGAGAAACUGCCGGGCUUGAGUGUGGGAGAGGUGAGUGGAAUUCCUGGUGUAGCGGUGAAAUGCGUAGAUAUCAGGAGGAACACCUGUGGCGAAAGCGGCUCACUGGACCAUAACUGACGCUGAUGCACGAAAGCUAGGGGAGCAAACAGG
rnacentral:rRNA from 1 species